CACUGUUGUAGUUUUUUUGUGUUGCUAGCGCGGUCAAGAGUGUUGGCUCUCACUGAGAGAUGACUACAAAAAUGGACGCACCUGUUCAUCUGGUUGUUAAACACGGCUGAAAAUGAUCAUCUUUUAAUGUUGUUCCCGCUCCUGCCCACUCCCGUUGCUUUUUUCCCGUCCCGUCCCGAUCAAGGGAUUAAUUAAAAAAUGACUCCCAUCCCGUGGGAUUCCCGCGGGAAUCACGUGACCCACGGGAAUUUCCGAAAAAUGUCAU